AGAGUUUGAUCCUGGCUCAGAACGAACGCUGGCGGCAUGCCUAACACAUGCAAGUCGAACGAAGCCUUCGGGCUUAGUGGCGCACGGGUGCGUAACGCGUGGGAAUCUGCCUUGGGUUCGGAAUAACAGUUAGAAAUGACUGCUAAUACCGGAUAAUGUCUUCGGACCAAAGAUUUAUCGCCCAGGGAUGAGCCCGCGUAGGAUUAGCUAGUUGGUGAGGUAAAGGCUCACCAAGGCGACGAUCCUUAGCUGGUCUGAGAGGAUGAUCAGCCACACUGGGACUGAGACACGGCCCAGACUCCUACGGGAGACAGCAGUGGGGAAUAUUGGACAAUGGGCGAAAGCCUGAUCCAGCAAUGCCGCGUGAGUGAUGAAGGCCUUAGGGUUGUAAAGCUCUUUUACCCGGGAUGAUAAUGACAGUACCGGGAGAAUAAGCCCCGGCUAACUCCGUG
rnacentral:rRNA from 1 species